UGGGCUGCUGUUUUAUAUAUCAUCACUUUUUGAUAUAGUGAUUUUGAAUGAUUUCAUCAUGUGUCCUGUGGAAAAUGGAAAGGGAAAGGGAAAGGGAAAGGGAAAGGGAAAGGAAAGGAUAUAUUUUAACCCUGUGUAACUGUAAGAGUGAGAGGUAGUGGUUGUCCUGGAAAACAGUGCUCAUACUUGUAUGACAAAAUGCUUAAGUUGGCUCCACAGCAGAAGUUUCCUCCUGGCUUUUUGAGAAUGGCAAGUUGAGAACUAGGGACUGUAAUUGUUACAAAUCUUCUGUACUCCUCAUUUCUUCACAUGCCCCUCAUGUGAUGGGAGAAGCUGUCCUGGAACAGCUGGUCUGGACCCUCUUCUUAAAAUGUGUGAUGAGACAGAACUAAGGGCUGAUGAAAUCUUGCCCAGAGAUCUUGGCUUUUCAUCUAAAUUUUAAAAGAUUAUUUGGUUUUACCCCAUUUGUAAUCUCUUUGAUUUUUCUUUCUUUAUAAUCACAAGGAGCCUGGAGCUUUUCCUGCAUGAGCUCUCAGGAUUGAGCUUGCUUUGGCUCAGUGCCCAUAUUCGCUUAUAUCAGAAGGAAUCUGUGGGAAGAAUUGCACUGUUUGAUAUUGGCUACCUGUUACUCUUCUCCAAUCUUGUAACCGAAAGUUUCAGCAAGGGGCAGAGGCAGCAGUGUGGGACCAAGCCAGACAGUCCUGAUUUCCCCGAGCUCAAAAUCAAAGUCACAGAUACAUGCAGCAACUGAACACUUUUGACAGAAACAGAGCUUUCAAAGACAUCAGAAGCUGAGAGGGACCCAGAACAGUUAUCCAUAAACACAGUUAAAAUUCAUCCUUUACCAAUUUCCAGAAGGAGUAGCCUACUUAAAACACCAAACCACAACAAACUGACAGAAGAGGAAGAUAGAGAGCUGAGAAUACAACAGAAUAACAGAAAAUCAGGAGAAUGCUAGCAAGAAGAGAUCAUGGGAUGUGGGUCACAAAUCUGUAGGAAAUAAAUUGUUCUAGACUGGAAUUUUUGAAAUAAAA
rnacentral:lncRNA from 1 species